AUUGAACGCUGGCGGAAUGCUUUACACAUGCAAGUCGAGCGGCAGCGCGGGGCAACCUGGCGGCGAGCGGCGAACGGGUGAGUAAUACAUCGGAACGUGCCCAGACGUGGGGGAUAACUACUCGAAAGAGUGGCUAAUACCGCAUACGAUCUAAGGAUGAAAGCGGGGAAUCGCAAAGACCUCGCGCGUUUGGAGCGGCCGAUGGCAGAUUAGGUAGUUGGUGGGGUAAAGGCUUACCAAGCCCGCGAUCUGUAGCUGGUCUGAGAGGAUGAUCAGCCACACUGGGACUGAGACACGGCCCAGACUCCUACGGGAGGCAGCAGUGGGGAAUUUGGACAAUGGGCGAAAGCCUGAUCCAGCCAUCCGCGUGCAGGAUGAAGGCCCUCGGGUUGUAAACUGCUUUGUACAGAACGAAAAAGACUCUUUCUAAUACAGAGAGUCCAUGACGGUACUGUAAGAAUAAGACACCGGCUAACUACGUGCCAGCAGCCGCGGUAA
rnacentral:rRNA from 1 species